GUGUAACCACCGCCACAAUCAGGAUGCUGACCCGAAGAGCUUCAUCAGCCCUCAAAACAUCCUUAGGCUGUCCCAUUGGACAUCCCUCCCCAACUCCUGGUACCUCCCCGUUUCUCUGUCAAGGAAAGAUAUUUCUUGCUGGCUUUGAUGAACUUGCCGGGUUGAAGAAGCCCCCAUGGCAAGAAAUUGAGGGCAACUUCCUGUCAACAGCCCGUGAAAAACUGAGUCCUAGUUCAACAGGCCACAGGGAUCAAAACUCUUGCCAACAACCAUGUGAACUUGGAAAGCUGAUUCUUCCCCAGUCAAGCCUCAAGAUGAGACCACAGCCUCACGGCUCUUAGUUAAUCCUUGAAAUAGCCCAUUGUAGAGGCAAGAUGCUUGAAUUUCAAGAGGUGGAGAGUAGGAAGAGGCAUCACUUAAUGGUUAAAAGAAAAGACGUUGCAGAUUUCUCCCUACUGGAGAAGACUACAACAUACCCUGUGCUGCUGAGUAUUUUUUACAAAUUGAAGAUCUGUGGCAACCUUGUGUAGAGCAAGUUUAUCGGCACCAUUUUAACAACAGCAUUUGCUCACUUCAUGUCUCUGUCACAUUUUGGUAAUUCUUGUAAUAUUUCAAACUUUUUCAUUAUUAUUAUAUUUUUCACGGUGAUCUAUGAUCAGUGAUCUCUGAUGGUACUGUUGUAAUUGUUUUGGGUGCCAUGAACCGCAUGCCCAUGUAAGAUGGCGAACUUCAUUGAUAAAUGUUGUGUACGUUCUGACUGCUCCAUUGACUGGCUGUUCCCCCAUCUCUCUCCCUCUCCUCAGCCUCCCUAUUCUCUGAGACACAACAAUAUUGAAAUUAGGCUGGUUAAUAACCCUACAAGGGCCUCUAAGUGUUGAAGUGAAAGGAAGAGUCACGUGUCUCUCACUUGAACUCAAAAGCUAGAAAUGACUAAGCUCAGACAUGUCAAAAGCUGAGACGGGCCAAAAGCUAAGCCUCUUGUGCCAAACAGCCAAGAUGUAAAUGCGAAGGAAAAGUUCUUGAAGGAAGUUAACAGUGCUACUCCAGUGAACACAUGAAUGAUAAGAAAGCGAAACAACCUUAUUGCUGAUACAGAGAAAAUUUUAGUGGUCUGGGGAGAUCAAACCAGCCACAAUAUUCCCUUAAGCCAAAGCCUAAUUCAGGACAAGACACUGACUUUCUUAAAUCCUAUGAAGGCUGAGAGAGGUGAGGAAGUUGCAGAAGAGAAGUUUGAAGCAAGCAGAGGUUGGUUCAUGAGGUUUAAGGAAAGAAGCCAUCUCCACAACAUAAAAGUAUAAGGUGAAGCAACAAAUUAUCCAGAAAAUCUAGCCAAGAUAAUUAACGAAGGUGACUACACUACACGGCAGAUUUUCAGUGUAGACCAAAUAUCCUUAUAUUGGAAGAAGAUGCCAUCUGGGACUUCCCAUAGCUAGAGAACAGAAGUCAAUGCCUGACUUCCAAGAUUGAAAGCACAGUCUGACUCUUAUUAGAGGCUAAUGCAGCUGGUGACUUUAAGUUGAAGCCAGUGCUCAUUUACCAUUCUGAAAAUCCUAGGGUCCUUAAGAAUCAUGCUAAAUCUACUCUGCCUGUGCUCUAUAAAUGGAACAACAAAGCCUGGAUGAUAACACACCUGUUUACAACAUGGUUUACUGGAUACUUUAAGCCCACUGUUGAGACCUACUGCUCAGAAGAAAAAGGUCCCUCUCAAAAUGUUACUGCUCAUUGACUAUACACCUGGUCACCCAUGAGCUCUGAUGGAGAUGUACAAUGAGAUUCAUGUUGUUUUCAUGCCUGCUAACACAACAUCCAUUCUGCAACCCAUGGAUCAAGGAGUAAUUUUGACUUUCAAGUCUUAUGUUCAAAAAUACAUUUUGUAAGGCUAUGGCCACCAUAGAUAGUUAUUCCUUUGAUGGGUCUGGGCGAAGUAAAUUUAAAAUCUUCUAGAAAGGACCCGCCACCAUUCUAGAUGCCAUUAAGAACAUUUGUGAUUUGUAGGAAGAGGUCAAAAUAUCAACAUUAACAGGAGAUUGGAAGAAGUUGAUUCCAACCCUCAUAGAUGACUUGAGGGGUUCAAGACUCAAGUGGAGGAAGUAACUGCAGGUGUGGCAGAAAUAGUAAGAGAACUAGAAUUAGAAGUGGAGCCUGAAGGUGUUACUGAAUUACUGCAAUAUCAUGAUAGAACUUUAAUGAAUGAGGACUGCUUCCUGUGGAUGAGCAGAGAAAGUUGUUUCUUGAAAUGGAAUCUACUCCUGGUGAAGAUGCCGUGAAGAUUAUUGAAACGACAACAAAGGAUUUAAAAUGUUACAUAAACUUAGUUGACAAAGCAGUGGCAAGGUUUGAGAGGAUUGAUUCCAAUUCUGAAAGAAGUUCUACUGUAGGUAAAAUGCUGUCAAAAAGCAUCACGUGCCACAGAGAAAUUGGUCAUGAAAGAAAGAGUCAACAAAUAUGGCAAACUUCAUUGUUGUCUUAAGAAAUUGCCACAGCCACCCCAACUUUUGGCAAUGAUCAACCUGAUCAGUCAACUGCCAUCAACUCUGAGGCAAGACCCUCCACCAGCAAAAGGAUUAUGGCUCACUGAAGGCUUAGACGAUGGUUUGCGUUUUUUGGCAAACAUGUAUUUUUAAAUUGAGGUGUACAAUUUUUAGACAUAAUGCUAUUGCACACUUAAUAGACCUCGGUAUAGUGUAACUUUUAUAUACACUGGGAAAUCAAAAAUUUCAUGUGACUCACUUUAUUGUGAUAUUCACUUCUUUGUGGUGGUCUGGAACUGAACCUGCAAUAUUUCUUAGGUGUGCCUGUAUGGAUGUGUGUGUCAUAUUCAUAUGCAUAUUUCAAAGCUCUGACCUCUGGACAUGGUGACUAACUGUCUCAGUUUGCCUGAGACUAUCCCAGUUUCAACACUGAAAUGCCCACAUUCUGGGAAACCCUAGGGUGGUUGGUCAUCAACUGCUGAGCUGGAACUAGAAGCAAUGAUAUCCCAGUAGCAAUGAGCACACCUCAUGCACAGGUUUUGGUUUCUAAAUACCAUUGUCCAACAAAAGAACCAGGGCUCCUUGGAGAAAUGGUUGGUUCUAGGGCUGGAACAGCAGAAGUAUCUUGUGUCAGUUCCUUCCCCUCUCUGAGCCUCAGUUUCCCCAUCAGUCCAGUGGGAAUAACAGUUUCCCACCGUAAUGGGUUGAAUUGUAACCACCCCCACCCCCCAAUAAAUGUCUACCCAGAACCUGUGAAUGUGAUCAUAUUUGGAAUAAGAGUCUUUGCAGUAAGGAUCUUGAGAUAAGAUCAUCCUUGAUUUAGAGUGGGCUAUAAAUCCAAUGACAAGUGUCCUUAUAAAAGAAAGGGAAAGAGACAGAGAGAGAAGGCCAUGUGAAGAUGGGGGCAGAGAUUGGAGUGAUGGCAGCAACAAAUCAAGGAAUGCUUGAAGCCACCAGAGCUGGAAAAGACAAAGAAGGAUCCUCCCCUAGAGCCUUCAGAGAGAGCACAGCCCUGCCCACACCUAGA